UACGUAGGGGGCAAGCGUUGUCCGGAUUCAUUGGGCGUAAAGAGCGUGUAGGCGGCCAGGUAGGUCGGUUGUGAAAACUGGAGGCUCAACCUUCAGACGUCGACCGAAACCAUCUGGCUAGAGUCCGGGAGAGGAGAGUGGAAUUCCUGGUGUAGCGGUGAAAUGCGCAGAUAUCGGGAGGAACACCUAUGGCGAAGGCAGCUCGCUGGGACGUUACUGACGCUGAGACGCGAAAGCGUGGGGAGCAAACAGG
rnacentral:rRNA from 1 species